rnacentral:rRNA from 1 species
CGCCCAACAGCUAGCCCAAAUUGUCUAAAAACAACCCAUCAUUAUUAAUAACCCCUAAUACACAUAAUAACACCUAAACAAAUCAUUUUUCCACCCUAGUAUAGGAGAUAGAAAAGGAUCUACGGAGCCAUAACAAAAGUACCGCAAGGGAACGCUGAAAAAGAAAUGAAAUAACCCAGUUCAAGCAAAAAAAAGCAGAGUUUUCUCCUCGUACCUUUUGCAUCAUGAUUUAGCUAGCACUCCCAAGCAAAGAGCACUUUAGUUUGACACCCCGAAACUAGAUGAGCUACUCCAAGACAGCCUAUUUUAAUAGGGCACACCCGUCUCUGUGGCAAAAGAGUGGGAAGAGCUUCGAGUAGAGGUGACAGACCUAUCGAAUCUAGUUAUAGCUGGUUGCCUGUGAAAUGAAUUUGAGUUCAGCCUUCUGGCUUCUUAUUUCCCAUCUUAGUAAUCUAACUUGAUUAAAGAACACCAGAAGAGUUAGUCUAAGGGGGAACAGCCCCUUUGACACAGGACACAACUUUUUAAGGAGGGUAAAGAUCAUAUGACCAAAAGUACUAUGUUUUGGUGGGCCUAAAAGCAGCCACCCUUCAGAAAGCGUUAAAGCUCAGACAUAAUGAAGUUACCACAAUUCUGACAAUCCUAUCUUAACCCCCUAAUCAUAGCAAGCUAUUCUAUGCCCGCACAUAGAAGAAAUAAUGCUAAUAUGCGUAAUAAGAGGCGCCCACAAGCCCCUCUCCCUGCACAAGUGUACCUCGGAACGGACCUCCCACCGAACAUUAACGACCCUAAACAAAGAAGGCAAUGAAACACAAAUCAAAAGGCCAGAAAAUCAUUCAUAGUUUAUCGUUUACCUCACACUAGUGUGCUCACAUGGGAAAGACUCAAAGAAAAAGAAGGAACUCGGCAAACAUACACUAAGCCUCGCCUGUUUACCAAAAACAUCGCCUCUUGCAAAAAUAACGAAUAAGAGGUCCCGCCUGCCCUGUGAUUUAUAUUUAACGGCCGCGGUAUUUUGACCGUGCGAAGGUAGCGCAAUCACUUGUCUUUUAAAUGAAGACCUGUAUGAAUGGCACGACGAGGGCUUGACUGUCUCCUUUUUCAGGUCAAUGAGAUUGAUCUCCCCGUGCAGAAGCGGGGAUAACAAUAUAAGACGAGAAGACCCUAUGGAGCUUUAGACACAAGACAGACCAUGUUAAUAACUGCCAAACAAAGCAUUAAACUAAAUGGACCCUGCCGGAAUGUUUUUGGUUGGGGCGACCGCGGGGAAAAACAAAACCCCCAUGAGGAAAUAGGAGAAAGACUCCUAAAAGCCAGAGCACCUGCUCUAAUUAACAGAAUUUCUGACACUAAGAUCCGGCAAUGCCGAUCAACGAACCGAGUUACCCUAGGGAUAACAGCGCAAUCCUCUUCUAGAGUCCCUAUCGACAAGAGGGUUUACGACCUCGAUGUUGGAUCAGGACAUCCUAAUGGUGCAGCCGCUAUUAAGGGUUCGUUUGUUCAACGAUUAAAGUCCUACGUGAUCUGAGUUCAGACCGGAGUAAUCCAGGUCAGUUUCUAUCUAUAAAACAACUUUUUCUAGUACGAAAGGACCGAAAAAGAGAGGCCAACACUAAAAGCGCGCCUCACCCCCAACUGCUGCAAACAAAUAAAACAGUUAAGGGCGGAGUAACACACUAAUAGUCAAAAAAAAUGACAU